AUGAGGUGAGGGAGCCAUGCACUUCUACAGUGGAGGUUGGGAGAAAGAUAAGAAAAAUUAGACAAAUUCUGUCUAUUCUGAAAUCAGCAAAAAUUUCAACUCCUUUCGCUCCAAGAGUUGUUGACGUUCAGGGGCCGCCAAAGAAGGUGGACAUAUUCACGGCACUUGGUAAGGAGAAGAAGAGAAAACUGGAAGAAUUCAUCAAGAUGAAGGUUCAAAAAGAAUACACCAUGCAUUCAUUUGCCGCCUAAGACUUCUCGAAUAUGACAAAUAUACGCGUGUGGUACGAGGACAAGGUAAGUUUACUUUUGCUAACGUAGCCUUCCAAUCUACUUCAUGAAGAAGAAUAUACGCAGUAGAUAUGUAAUCUAUUGCAAAAACUUGGUAUUCUGUUGUAACAUAAUGCAUAUCUGUUGCAUAAGUUGCGUUGGUUGGGUAAUCUGUGAACUGAUUCAGAGAACCCUCUGCAUCAAAUUUUUUCUACUAUAUUUUUAUUCUUUACAAUUACUACCCUAUUUAAAAAUUAUCUUCUUAUACUACAGUAUGUUGAUGAAAUUCUCUGCCUCAUGAGGGGCAGGAAAUUAGCGUACCCGGAUGCUUAUAAUGCUGUCGAUAGGAUAAUGGACCUCAACUUUUACAAUAAUUUCAAGGAUAGGCACGCUAAACUCUAUAAGAUAGCUAAUUUCGAUGGCCCGGGAUUUGAUCAGCUAAUUUCUACGUUCCAAUGGGAUGAGGAAGCAAUUAAAUAUGUUAGAGGGAAGAGGCCAUAUCCAUACGGCAAGAGAUGGACCAAGGCAAAGAGAAUCCUUGCAGUCAUAAAUGUAGAUGUCACAUAUUUUCUCACUGUUGAGAUACUACUAUACAAAGGAAAGAUUAACGUUUAUGACUGCAACUUACCUGUCUUCAGCGAGAAGACGUUUUAACCCACAUUCAGCCACUCUUGAAGUUAUUGACGCAGAGUAAGAUGAUGGAUCAUUUGCCGGCUAAAGUCUUGGCAAAGGAAUCAUGGGAUUUUGAAGGUCGAAAUAAGAACAUCCAGCUCCCAAGAAAUACAACCGGUGCAGCGUGCGGGCCGUACUCACUUGCAUACAUCGAGUGUUUACUGACCGGCACACAAAUGACCGGUGUGUGCGACACCAUUGUGGGAAAGAUGCAAUGGGUCUGGACAUAUGGGGUACUAACUAAAUGGUUGGAUCUCAUGUAUAAAAAGAACAUGUACAAAUACAGAGAUGAACACAAUAACAAAUUUUUAUUUCAAGCCAAUUCACUUUACAUGUAGUGGCAAUAAUUUUUAUGUCUGGCUAAGUUGAAUUUUUAUAAUGCAAUAGAUUUUAUAUCUAUCAUUACAGAUAUUGUACCUUUUGUGAUAGAUUGAUUAUCUAUUGGAAUAGGUUGGUUAUCUGUUGCAUUAUGCAGAUGUUUCCCAGUCUGUCUGUCGCAAUAGAUAUACGAUCUGUUGAAACAUAUAAUCUAUCUGUUGUAACUGAUCGGUAAUCUGUUGGAGAAAAUCAAAAAAGUAGGAAGACCUGUUAUAUAAUUUCUAGCAGAUGACCUACGUGUUACAUCUCAUGUUGCAACAUAUGUCUAAAUUUAUUGAUAAGAUAUGUCGUCUGUUGCAUCAAUGUAUUAUCUAUUGCGAUAUUUGAAUCUAGUACUUCAUUUCAAUUAACAUGUUCAAAACUAAUGAUUAAAUUAUAUUCUUAGAUAGAAUAAAAAAAAGUGAAGCCUUCAAAAAUUACAUGAAAUAACUCAACAAAUAAAUGAAAUGUAAAAAAAAAUCAUUAUGGGUACAAACAAUCUACUAUACAAAUAAAUCAACAAGUUAAACCAAGGAGGAUAGGUUAUUACAUUGACGGACUCAAGCUAUAAACAUCUAAUCAAUAUUAACAAGAUGUUCUUCAUCCGGUGCAAUGGAAUUUGGCUUUGGUCGUCGUGGAUCUUUAACGUCGGUUGCGUACGGCUUCUGGGCUUUUACUUCUCCAUAUUUUCAUAAAAUAGUAGCAUAUUUUUUGCAGAGUAAGCCGGUAUCAAGUUCAUCAUUUGGUAAUUUUAAUCCAUCGCUCAAAUACUCGACGUAGGCGGCAACAAAAAGACCACAAUUCCUGCAUUAUAAAAAAUAGAUAAUCCAUAUCUUGCAGUUCAUGCAAGCGUUGUGAAAUUUGUGAAAUAAAACUAAAUCAUGAUACUUAAACUUACAGGCUACCAGUGGUUUGUUGAGCAAUUCCUUUAAGAUAUUGUACAUCAAAUGGAUAAGUCAUUUUAUCCCGGUAUGCUUCAAUCGUCGACCAAUCAGUAAGAACCUUUUGAUCCAAAAAGCCACUCAUAUCAAGGUAAGUAGGCAAUAUUUUUGCCAUCUUUUGUAUCUCAGACGAUGGUCCAAAAUGUCUCCUUCGCGGCAUCGAGUCAUAAAAUCGGAUGCGCCUCUUUUUUAGAACGACAACAGCUAAUAACCAAUGGAAUUCAUCACCAUAAUUGAUUGGGAUGUACACUUUGUCAAUCAAAUGUCAAGUUAAGCAAGCCGAAAUGCUAAAACCUUUGAUGAUGUUGAUUAAGCAUUCCUCAUUUUGGGAAACUUUUGGGUGUUGUUGACAAUACCCAUCGUAGGCAUUAUUGAUGUAAACUUUGUACAAAUAAUUGUCUGUCGUGUAUCUAUAUUAUUCUUGUAUUUUCAACUUGACCUUCUUUCGAAGGUAGUAAAAAAUGACAUCGAUGUGCUGCACAUAUUAUCAAAUAUUUUAGAUUACGUGAUGAAAAAAUCAAUGCGCAGAUGCAAUUAAAUAAAGUAUUAAUUAAUAGUAAUAUGUAUGGCAUUUAAACCUCAUCAUUCCAGCAAGUUUGGAGUUGUGACAUCCAAUAGAACCAAUAUCAAAACCAAGACUCGAUUCGUUCACUUUGUAGCGCUAGUCAUUUUAUUUUCUACAUGAUGAUUUAUAUGUGUUAAUGUCAGGUUCUUACAACAAGAAUUAUAUAAACCAAUAUCUAUAAAAUUAAUUUAUGUACCUGCCGGCAUGAUGCUUUAACAGCCCAUCGGCAAUCCAUUUUGAAUAGUCGCUGAUCAACUAUGUUAGUUUUUUUGGAGCCUCGUUCGAGAUAUUGAACCCUUCAAAUGGGUAAUUCUUUCGUUCUCCCAAACUGACAGACUUUACUUUUUCUUCUUCUUUGGAAGCAUUUGAUGGAUUAUCAACUGUGAUAUUAUGCUCUUCGGCAGUAGCUUCUACUAUCACAUCUACCUGAAAAACCUGAAUUUUCAAUGCUAAGUAGAGAUAUACAAUAAAUUGUACAUCUGUUGCAACAGAUGAGUCUUAUGUUGCAUCAGACGGAUUAUCAGUUGGGACAAAUUCGAAUAGGUAAAUCAGAGCAGUACAAUAAUUUUAAAAAGAUAACGAAUCUGAUGCAACAGGUUAGACAACAUUUGCAAUAGAUGUAUAUAUCUAUUUGAUAAUUUUCAGCAAAUAUAUCAUCUGUUGAAAUAGAUAUGUGCCUAUUUGUUUUUUUGGAUCAGAUGAUGUACAUUCACCUUCUUUAGCUCAUACGGCUCUCUUGUGGCCCUUGCACACUGAACAUCGGUGCAAAAUAAAGAUAGAGGCGUUGUAAUCUUGCUUUUUUGAAUGCUUGAUGAUGCCUUGGAAGUGUCUUUCCUUAUCAUCUUAGCUGCCUUGAUCUCUAGUGGAGUUUCUGGAUAUGAAAUCAUCUUUGAUGGAAUGACACCCCUCUUAGAUGUCACUUUUUUACAGAAGCAUUUAGUUCAUUAAUAACAUUAAUCACUCCAUCGUGUUUCGCCUUGCAGUCUUGACAUUUACAUGUAAAAUAUUCGCUAGAUGUGGCAAAAUCUGAAGAAAAAUCUAUACAACCAUUAUGAUCAUAAUCAUAAUGGCUUGUUGUUUCAAAAACUGUAAGAGGAGCAUCAUCAGCCCCACCCUCCAAAAUUUUUUUCUUGUGAUGGUUGUUGCUCCAAACAAUUCCAUUUUUAUUCCAUCAACAACCUUAGGGCCUGAUAAAGUUUGCACACACCAUAAAGUAAGAAAAAUUGGCAUCUUUAACUCUCGGUUGAUCAGAACAAGUCAUGGAUGGACAAUCUAAAAUAAAUCGGUACAUAUAUUAAGAAUGAUGAUGAAAUCCUUUAAUCAUUAAUUAAAAUAAAAACUUGAUUAGAAUUGGACUUAUUGCUUCCUUGGGGGGAUUGAAAAGAUCAAGGAUUUUUGCAUUUUUAUCGGUUUUGGCCGACAACCAUCUCAGAAUUCUUGGACAGGAAACUUCUUCUUGGUAGUUCACUUGUUGUCUCAAAUAAGGAAUGGCUUCAAAUGCCCAAGCCUAUAACAUAACACCAAUAAAUCAAAAGUAUUAUUGAAUAAAAAAUUAUGAAUCAUACAUGAUAAAAGUAAUAUUUACCAUGAAGGUCCAUGGAAAGCCAUAUAAGUUGAUUGUUUUUGGCGUUAACGAAGUCAACAAAUAUUCGACAGUCAUUUUGAAGCUUUUAUAACCCCAAGGAUAGCUGUUAAAUGCCUCAAGAUCCUCGGAGAGAUUUAUUAAACUAAGGCUUAUGUUGUUGUUAACGUCUCUCGCCCAAAUAACAUUAUGUACAAACCAAACCAAGCACAAUAAUUGUUUGUUCUUCUUUGAAAGUCCUUUACCUGUCAACUCUUCUAUCAGAUUUUUGUUUUUGAACCUUGGACAAACAAUGGACACCAGGUCAUCACGAUCACUUGACUUGCCUUUGCCUUUUUUGGGUGUGUAGGGUGCUUCUUUUGGGUCAGAGUAGGUAUAACUUGAGAAGGAGAAGGAGGAUAACAUUUUAGUCCGAUAACUAUGGAAAACUCCUUCCAACCAAAAUAAAUAAGCAUAUCACAGUAAUUUAUCAGCACCUCAUCCAUCUUAUCUUUGUUUUCAUACAUAAAACUGCGCUUGAGAAGAUCAUAUACUAUUUUCAUCUAAAAAUGAGCAUUGUUGUUCUCCGGCAAAUCAAGAUAUUGCCCAAAGCAGCUUUCCCUGAAAUAAGAAUUCAAUUUUUGUUCUCAAAGUAUGUUUUGAAGGCGUCGAAAGAUUUUUUCAUGACUGACUUAAUCACGAGAUCACCCAUUAAAUCUGUGGCACCAUCGUACUGCAUUCUCAUAGGAUAACGAUCAAUGCUGAAGGUUUUUACCAACUCUUCAAUGGAAGGGCUAUUAGCGUUUGGAUCAUCUCUUUUGAAAGAUUCUUCCUCCCCAUGUUCAUUAUCUUCUGCUCCUGAUUGAGAUAACGCGUGUAAAGUAAGCUAUGGAGUGGUGGAUGUAGCCGAGCUACUGCACGUAUUCCUUUACUUGGACUUGAUUCGAUUUUUUUUCUUUUGGAAUCCAUAUUAUCUUAAAUUAACAGAAACAUAAAUAGAUUAUAAUUGAUUAAUACAUAACGGUAACAUAACAGUUCCAAUAGACAACUAGUCAGUUGCACCAGGUAUGUUAUCUAUUGCAACAUAUAACUGACCUAUUGCAAUGGAUGAGUAACCCGUGGAAACCAUAAAAAUAGAUUACUAAUCUGUUGCACCUGGUAUUUUAUCUGAUGCAACAUAUAACCAACCCAUUGCACCGGAUAAGUAAUCCGUGGGAACCAUAAAAAUAGAUCACUAAUUUGUUGUGUGUGGUAUUAUCUAAUGCAAUAUAUAAUCGACCCAUUACAACAGAUGAGUAAUCCAUUGGAAACCAUAAAAAUAGAUCACUAAUUUAUUGCACCAGGUAUGUUAUCUGUUGCCUCACAUAACUAACCUGUUGCAACGGAUAAGUAAACCAUUGGAAAAAUAAAAAUAGAUCACUAAUCUGUUGCAUCAGGUAGUUUAUCUGUUGCAACAUAUAACCAACCUGUUGAAAUGGAUGAGUAAUCCAUUGAAAACCAUAAAAAUAGAUCACUAAUCUGUUGCAGCAGGUAUAUUAUCUAUUGCAACAUAUAACCGACCUGUUGCAAUAGAUGAGUAAACCGUUGGAAAGAAUAAAAAUAGUCAGUAAUCUGUUGCAAAAUGAAGAGUAAACUGUUGGAAAGAAUAAAAAUAGAUCACUAAACAACUAUCUAUUGGAUAAAUAAUGUUUAUAUUUCUUCCAAACAAAAGAGUCAUUUGUCGCAAUAGAUGAAUGAUCUGUUAGCUUGUUCACCUGUUGCAUCAAAUUUUCAUAGUUCCAUCAAAUUUUCAUCUGUUGCAUCAGAUGUUUCAUCUGUUGCAAUACCAUUUUUACCAAGAAAAAUCAUAAAUCAACCCAGCAACACCAACACAUCACACACACACACUAAGAACAUCAACUGUGAUCAAAUAUCACCAACAAAAUUCGAAUCAAUAGUACGGCAACAAGAAGAAAAAAUACCAGAAAUUAAGAUUUUAUUCAGUCCACAUUUCAAUACUAGAAGAGUAGUUUGAUCAAGUUCCUCUGUUUCUUCAUAUUUUUUUACCUGUGAAAAAAAAAUGGGACGACAAAUAACUCGAAGUUGUUGUCGCCAGAAAAGUCUUCACAUUGAUUUGUGGUUGAAAGUCGAAAAGAAACUCGCUCGACUAUUUGUCGCCAGAGGUGAAGGGAGAAAUUUUGCAGAACUAUUUGUUGGGAGAGAUUUAAGAGAAGCUAUCGAGAGAGAGGAGAGAGUGGUUGAUUUGGAUUGAAGAGGGAUGUGGGUUGGGUUGAUUUGUAUUUUUGAAAAGAUUAAAAGUUUUGAAAAUAUUAAUCAAGUCCACAAUUAACUUAAUCAAGUUUCCUAAUGAUGUUUGACCCUUUAAGUUGGUCAAUGUCACCAAUCAUUUAUUCAAGACUUAAAAGACAUCUUUUCUUCAAUUUUCUCAUUUUUCAUAUAGAUAUGGAUGUGUUUUUCAUUUUUUAUUUUAAUCAUUUACUGGGGCUUGCUCAACUUAGUUCCUCUUGGAGUAACUGGUAAAGUUACUGCCAUGUGACCAAGAGGUCACGGGAUUAAACCUUAGAAGCAGCCUCUAGCAGAAAUGCAAGGUAAGGCUGCGUACGAUACAACCUUACGGUGGGGCCCUUCCCCGGACACCAGGCAUAGCGGUAGCUUUAGUGCACCGGGCUUCCCUUUUAUUGAUCCUCUUUAAUGUGUCGUCAAUAUUUCGCAGGGUCUUUCUAUUUGCGUUCAAGUGUGUGUCAAAUACCUUAUAUUAGAAAAGCUAUAAUAUGUAACCGAUUAGGUGGUUACUACUUUGAUACUACUAACAUUUUAAUGUGUUGGCUUAUGAACAUUUUUAUAAUGCAUUAACCACAUUAUGGAUAUUGACUAUUAAUAUUUAGUAUUUAAUCAGUCGGCAUAAUUUUAAAUUGCUAUGAUCUAGUCUUGAACUAAAGAACAUUUUUGCAACAAAUGUAUGAAGUGACAACAAUAAUAUUCCAAGAUAUAAGUCAAGAAGUAGAAGAAUAAUGUUCAGAAAGAAGCAAUUAAGGUGAAGUUUUUAAUGAAUCCAGUAACGCUCCCAUAAAUAGCUAGUUUUCAUUUGAUUUUUUUUUUUUUGUAUUUUGAUUUUCUAUUAUUUCAGAAUUACGUUGUUUUUUAUUAAAAAGGAUAAUAAUGUUAAACUAAGCAAGAUAGAGCUAGCAAAGAGAUUUGUUUGUUGGGGUUUAAUUGCAGGAAUGGAAUAUUAAUACUAUAUGAUACUAAACUUGAUAUUCGUCCCAGUAGAACAAAACAGUUGUAUUCUAAUUUAAUAAUUUUUACAUUAUGUCUUUGAAAUUGUAGAUGGUCGACAAAAGGCACACUUGAAACUUUAAGUGCAGAGAUUUCAAGGAAGAUCUUCAGCAUGACAUGUAUUUAUGAAGUAUUAUGUGAGGAGAGGUAUAUAUAAAUGAUCAUGAUAUAUUUAAGUCAUCGCCAGACACCUAAAGUUGUCUCAAAAAUUCACUUAGACCCCUCAACUAAGGUUUGUACCUGUCAGGCACCUCAAGGGCUAAAAUUGAUACUUAUCAGCCACAAAAUGCUGAUUUGGCAAAGACACUCUCCUUGGGCACAUGAAUAGUAGAAAAAUAAUAUUUUAUUUUUUAAUUAAAAUAUUUAUAUUUAAAUUAUUUUAUUAAUAUAAUUUUAAUUAUUAUAAUUUCUUAAUUUUAAAAAAGAAAAGGACCCCCACACCCCCUUCAUCGUCGUCCUCACCCCCAGCCCCAAGUUCAUCGUCAACCCCCAAUCCCUCGUUACUAGUUCAUAUUUUUUGGCGAAUCUUAACUUUUUCUAGCUGGAUCUACUUAGAAAUCAAAGGAAAACAAAGAAAUUUUAAAAUUUCUGGGACUAAAUCGAUCGAACAAUGAACUGAAAAUUGAUUCCGGCGAAAGUUCUGUCGGAAAAAGCUAAAAAAAGGACCGAAUCUCUCACCAAUUCACUAUUCUGAUCGUCCGUUUCCUAUUUUUCAGUCUAUUUUUUCUUCUUCUCCCUAUUUUUGGCCUUCUCUGAUCUGCUCUCCCUCUCUCUGAUCUGCUCUUCUUUUCCCGAUCUCCCACUCUCGAUCUUUUCUUUACUGUGUGCAUGUGUGUGCUUUUUCCGAUGUGAAUUAGUAAUGGGUGUGUAUCAUUAGAUCUCCCAGUGUGUGUGUGUAUAGCAUCGUGAAGAAGCUCCCUACUGUGUGUGUGUGGAAAUCUGUGUAUUCUCUGAAGAAUAAGGAGGCUGGAGAAGAAGAUAAAGGGGAUAUUUAGUUUUCUUUUAAAAAAAAUAUUAUAAUUCUUUUUAAAUUAUAAUUUAAUUAGUUAUAAAAAAAUUAAAUUAUUUUUGGAUUUUAAUGCUACGUGUCACCUUUUAAUUCGUCAUUUUUGCCACAUCAGCGCUUGUGUGUUGCACACUUGAGCUUUUUGCUGAUUGUCCAGAAAAGGUUUGACUGGAUCAAAUUUCAGGCGGGUUAAGGGUUUGAUAGGUACAGGACUUAGUUGAGGGGUCUAAAAGAAUUUUUGGGACAACUUUAAGUGUCUGGCAAUGACUUUAUUCAAAACUCCUUUACAUAUCAAAGAAGUGAAUCUGAAAUUGUAAAUAUUUUUCUUGAAUUGUUUAUAGAGGCCGAUCAAGAAAUCUCUAUUUUGGCUUUUGGUACUGCUAUGAAAGGCUACAAUAAGUUGCAGAAGUAUAGCAACACUAUUGUGUUGUAUAAGAUAACGAGAUCAGCAAGACUUCAAUGAGACCCUGGUUGUUAUUGUAGUAUCGUGAAAGCACAUAUGAAAAUGAGCCAUUGUGACAAAGUCGUGGUACUUUUAGAAUAACUUGAGAGCAAGAAAGUGGAGUACUCCAUACCUCACUAUGCUCAAAUUUACAAAAAUCGAUUUUGUUGGGGAAAUAUAGGCGCACUUUUGAAGUUUUGGAGUAUUCCAGAAACAUGGCCAAGAAGGGGAUUUAAGAAAAUCAUACAUUUUACCCUAUCUAUGAAUUUGCGAGCAUUCGUGAAGUGAACAUGGCUGAGGAGCUUUAAAAAAGAGUUGAAGCCAAGAGAAUAUUGAGGGUUCCAACAUUUUUUUUAAACUAGUGUUGAUGUACGUUGAAGAGGGGUUGAUUAAAAUGACUUUUGAUGUUGUUGCAAUAACGAGUUGGAUGAAAAUAGGUUGAAAAUAGCAAUCAGCUUUUGCUAAUUUUAAUUUAUUGGGCCUGAGAUAACUUGUCAAAUUAGAUGUUGAUUUGUCUAUUUGACACUCGUAUUUCUUGGUUAUAACAGAGAAGAAGAUUCUUUGAUUAUAUUGAAUUAGUUUGCUUCUUUUAGGAUUCUAUUUAUGGAUCUUACAAGAUUUCUCUUUAUUCUUCUGGCAUAAUGUACUCUUUUUUAAUUCAUAAAGGACAUGUCGGUGUAUUAAAGCUUCUGGUGUGCAUGAAAUUUAACGAAGGGUCGGACUACAAGGAUUUACUAUAGAGAGUCAUAUCUUGCAUUUCUACAGAAGAGUAUUUCCACGGCUUGAAUUCAUGUCCUUCUAUCAUAUGAUAUCAACUUUAUCGAUUACUCCAAUAUCUCCUUCAACUUUAUUCUUUUUUAUGAACAAAAAAACAUUCAAAAGAGUUUACACAAUGUAUUAUUGUAAUUUAUGCUUUAUGAAAGAUGUCAGAACCAAAGAGAAUGCAGCUAAAUCUAUUAUUUUGAAUUUUUUGUUUUACUAAUCAGCUCUUCGACCAUUAUUAUUAUUUUUACUUCAAAAGCAACAACUUGCGAAGUAGAAAGGACGCUGGACCGUAAAAAAAUUUAAUUCACGGGAUUCCAUUUAUGUUUUUAUUUUAAUUAGUUUAGCAAUCUUUGAUGUCAUUUGCCUAGCAUGUAAUUAUGCAAGUCUUUUUUCAUUUAAUAGUAGGUAAGACAUUUAAAAAUAAUUCCAAGGUAGAUAUUUGUAGUUGUAGUUUUGAAAAUAAUUUUUUUCUUAAUUGUAGGUUGUUUAUAUGGAUUUAA
rnacentral:lncRNA from 1 species